AGUGAACGCUGGCGGCAGGCCUAACACAUGCAAGUCGAGCGGCAGCGGGUCCUUCGGGAUGCCGGCGAGCGGCGGACGGGUGAGGAAUACAUCGGAAUCUGCCCUGUCGUGGGGGAUAACCUAGGGAAACUUAGGCUAAUACCGCAUACGACCUACGGGUGAAAGCGGGGGAUCGCAAGACCUCGCGCGACAGGAUGAGCCGAUGUCCGAUUAGCUAGUUGGCGGGGUAAAGGCCCACCAAGGCGACGAUCGGUAGCUGGUCUGAGAGGAUGAUCAGCCACACUGGGACUGAGACACGGCCCAGACUCCUACGGGAGGCAGCAGUGGGGAAAUUGGACAAUGGGCGCAAGCCUGAUCCAGCCAUGCCGCGUGGGUGAAGAAGGCCUUCGGGUUGUAAAGCCCUUUUGUCCGGGAAGAAAUCGUCUGGGCUAAUACCCCGGGCGGAUGACGGUACCGGAAGAAUAAGCACCGGCUAACUUCGUG
rnacentral:rRNA from 1 species